GUUUCCGUAGGUGAACUGCGGAAGGAUCAUUGUCGAAACCUGCAAUGCAGAACGACCCGCGAACUCGUCGUCCUUACACGGGGAAGCGUCGGGCCCUGCCACGGCGAUCUCCCAAAGGGUGGGCGGGGGACGGAUCGGAGCGGUGGACCCGUUCCAUCCUUCGGCCCGAACCUCGCCCCCCGAACAAACAAAACCCCGGCGCGAAAUGCGCCAAGGAAUCACGAAACGAAACGAAGGGACGAGUCCCCGUCGCGUGCCGGGAACGGAAUUCGCACGGGUGGCCCGGUCUCGUUCGAAAACCAAACGACUCUCGGCAACGGAUAUCUCGGCUCUCGCAUCGAUGAAGAACGUAGCGAAAUGCGAUACUUGGUGUGAAUUGCAGAAUCCCGUGAACCAUCGAGUCUUUGAACGCAAGUUGCGCCCGAAGCCUUCGGGCCGAGGGCACGUCUGCCUGGGUGUCAUGCAACGUCGCCCCAUCCAACUCCCCUCUCUAUCUAUGGGGGAGAGACACGAGAGGAAGGGGCGGAGAUUGGUCUCCCGUGCGCUCCCCGCUCGCGGUUGACCGAAAUCCGAGUCGUCGGCGGCCAGGUGCCCACGGCAAGCGGUGGUUGAUAAAGACCUUCGGACGAUGCCGCGGGCCAAGCCGGCACAGAACUCUACGAGACCCUGUUUCUCCCAACGGAGACCCCAGUCAGGCGGGAUUACCCGCUGGGUUUAAGCAUAUCCAUAAGGGGAGGAAAGAAACUUACCAGGAUUCCCUAA
rnacentral:rRNA from 1 species